GCUUUGUUUUAUUUUAACAUUAKAUUGCAAAUGGCUCAUUAUAACAGUUAUUAUAUUAUUGAGAUUAUUUUAUAGGKGGAUACUUAUGAGAAAAUUAUUAAAAAUAUAUGAUUUUAAAAUAUUUAUUUAUUUGGSAUUUAUUUGCUUUCAAACCAAAAUGUUUUAUCAUUAUGGAUGAUUCAUAGUAAUGUUUGGAGAACGCUUCGAUAUGCGGCAGAUCUUCACGGUUUCUGACCUAUCAGUUAGUCAGUAGUGUACUGGACUACUGAAGCGUUGACGGGUAACAGAGAAUUAGGGUUCUGUUCCGGAGAAGGAGCCUGAGAAACAGCUACUAUAUCUAAGGAACGCAGCAGGCGCGUAAAUUACCCAAUUCUGAUAAAGAGAGGUAGUGAUAAGAAAUCACAAUAUUUUACCUUAGGGUUAAGUAAUUGAAUUGAGAACACAGUAGCCAUAUUACCAAUAAACUA
rnacentral:rRNA from 1 species